AUUGAACGCUGGCGGCAUGCCUAACACAUGCAAGUCGAACGGCAGCACAGUCCGUAGCAAUACGGAUGGGUGGCGAGUGGCGGACGGGUGCGUAAUGUGUAGGGAUCUGCCCUGAAGUGGGGGACAACCCGGGGAAACUCGGGCUAAGACCGCAUAAUACUCUACGGAGGAAAUCUGGCUACGUAAGUAGCUGGAGCUUUAGGAUGAACCUACAUCCGAUUAGCUAGUUGGUGAGGUAAUGGCUCACCAAGGCGAUGAUCGGUAGCUGGUCUGAGAGGAUGACCAGCCACACUGGGACUGAGACACGGCCCAGACUCCUACGGGAGGCAGCAGUGGGGAAUAUUGGACAAUGGGGGAAACCCUGAUCCAGCAAUGCCGCGUGGGUGAAGAAGGCCUUCGGGUUGUAAAGCCCUUUAGGUGGGGAAGAAGGUUUUAGGGCGAUAAGCCCUAGAAUUUGACGGUACCCACAGAAUAAGCACCGGCUAACUCUGUGCCAGCCGCCGCCGUAA
rnacentral:rRNA from 1 species